GCCUGCUCAUAUAUCGAUAUUGAUUCAGCAAUUCUCAGGAUAGCAUGAAACCUAUUCUUUUAUUCUGCUAGAAUUGACUAACCAGCAUUAAAAUUCGUAAUUGUAACCAAAUUACGUAUGUGUUCCUAUAAAAAAAGAGAGAGAACAAUGCAUUUCAGCAUGUAUGUCUCGGCUCCUAUAAAAAAGAGAGAGAACAAUGCAUUUCAGCAUGUAUGUCUCAGUGUGGCGUGCUGUAGCGGAUCACAAUAUUCUUCUAGGUACGUAUGAUAAGUUGCACAAGCAUCUCUGUACUGCUUUUCGCAUAUAUCUUUGUUUUCUUCUACUGUAAUGUCGUCGGUAACUGUUUGCUCUAUUUCUUUCCUAUCUGUAGCGCGCUUCUCUUUUGAUUCCAUGCUUCAAUCAAAUCAAAUCGAC
rnacentral:lncRNA from 1 species